UUCUUUUAAAGGCUUCCGAGAAUGAACUUAUUAAAUUAUCUUCUCAGUUCACUUCGUACAAUCAUUCGAACAACAUCUACUUUCUGCAAUUUUACUAUUCAACGCAGAGGCAGAUUUUUGUCUAGAGACGUUAGUAUUUCGAGAAUCAACGAAAGUGGAGAGCUUUUUAGUGAGCCAACAAGAUGAUUGUAACCGAACGUGAGAGGUAUGUUAGGACAUCCUGUGGUAUGAUCCUGUUGUUGCUGCUGCUGCUGCGGACGGUCAGUGGUGCGAAGAUAGGCACAAAUGGCCAAUCCCAUGGACAGAGAUUUGCAAUGGAACCACAGGAUCAGACGGCAAUUGUUGGAUCACGCGUGACGCUGCCAUGUCGCGUGAUCGACAAAGUUGGCAUGCUUCAGUGGACCAAGGAUGACUUUGGACUGGGCACACAUCGAAAUCUCAGUGGAUUCGAUCGGUACUCAAUGGUGGGCAGUGACGAGGAGGGAGACUAUUCCCUUGACAUCUAUCCCGUUAUGCUGGACGAUGACGCCAAGUAUCAGUGCCAAGUUGGACCAGGAGCAGACGGUCAAUUGGGAAUACGUUCACGUUUUGCCACACUGACAAUUCUGGUGCCACCAGAACCACCAAAAAUAAUUCAAGGUGAUUUUAUGGUGACCACUGAGGAUCGUGAAAUCGAAUUAGAGUGCAUUUCCAUUGGGGGAAAACCUGCGGCCGAGAUUACAUGGAUUGAUGGCUUGGGAAAUGUACUUACAACCGGAAUAGAUUACAUGAAGGAACCAUUGCCGGAUUCGAGGCGCUACACAGCGAAAUCUGUGUUGAAAUUGACACCGAAGAAGGAGCAUCAUAAUACAACAUUCACGUGCCAAGCGCAAAAUACCGCCGAUCGAACAUAUCGAGCGGCUAAAUUGAAAUUGGAGGUGAAAUAUGCACCAAAAGUGUCUGUUUCUGUGAUUGGAGGGGCACUGGCGGGUGGUAGGAUACCUGAGGGAGCGGAAGUACGAUUGUCCUGUCACGCGGAUGCCAAUCCCAGCGAUCUGACGUAUCGAUGGUACAUCAACGAUGAGCUUGUGGUGGGCGACUAUACCACCGAAAUGCUAAUCCACAACAUCACGCGCAAGUUCCACGAUGCCAUUGUUAAAUGUGAGGUCCACAAUGCCGUGGGAAAGAGCGAGGAGAGCGAAACUCUGGAUAUUAGCUACGGACCUGUGUUUAGGACACGACCAAAGUCCGUGGAAGCUGAUAUUGGCACGGAGGUGUCACUGUUCUGUGAUGUGGACGGAAAUCCACCUCCGGAUAUUGUCUGGAUUCAUGAUCCGGCAGAUCGAGUCGUUCGAACUUCAUCGAAUUUCACGACAACAGUGACACAGGAGACCGCCGGUCGGUACUACUGCAAGGCAAGCGUAAUGGGCUUCCCGGAGAUUGGAGCCGAGGCUACAGUGUACCUAAAGGGGCCUCCGGUGAUAUCAUCCCCCCAGCGUCAACAUGGCAUUGUGGGUGAUAAUGCACGUCUGGAGUGUGUAGCAUUUUCCGUGCCAAAGGCCCGGCACGUCUCGUGGACGUUCAAUGGGCGAGAAAUCAACACGAGCAACGACCAGGAUUUCUCAAUUCUCGAGGAUCCUCUGCCCGAAGGCAUUAAAUCUACCCUGAUAAUCCGUGAAAGCCAAUCCCGCCACUUUGGUCGCUACAAUUGCACCGUUGUCAAUGACUAUGGCAAUGAUGUUUUGGAAAUUGACCUCCUUCCACAAACGAUAGCACCAUCCCUAAUAAUUAUCGUGUGUGUGGGACUUUCGGUGGCGAUAACAAUUCUCGUCGUCAUCUUCCUCUGCAUCUUCCUCAAGCGAGGCAAGAAAAAGCUACCACCUGCUGAUGUUAUUCCUGAGCACCAUAUCUCGGAGAAGGGUUGCAAAGAAAGUGACCGCUCAUCCAAUAUCAGUGACCUCAAAGUUGACAUUCGGUCUGGAUCGUGCGAACCGGAUUAUUCAGAAACGUGUUCAGGAUCCGACAGUAUCGCCACGAGAUUAGCAGCCAACAUUCUGGGAUCAACUCAAACGGCUUCGGCAGGAGGGGGUGGGGUCCCUCUUGCCGGUCCCGUCAAGAUCCCCAACGAUUACAGGUACUCCGGAGAUUACACGGAUCCAUUGGGGCACUUGCAACAGUUGAAGUCUGGCCAGAACAACAAUGGCUAUGUACCUUAUGUGGAUUAUGCACGAGAUUACAGUCCACCACCGCAGACUCUAACAGCAAUUAGAACAUCGAGCGCUGCCAUGAACGGCCAAUUGCCAACUGGUGGCAAUUUCAGUUUGAAUCGUCAUAGAACGACAGAGCUUCGCCAAGAUAAUGGACUACCGAGUGUCCAGAAUAGUCUGAAUUCGCUACCCAAUGGUUUUCUCGGGCAAUCCCUUCUGCAGAAUGGCCUGAGCAUAGAUCCGCGAUACAGUGCGACGUACGGCAAUCCAUAUCUGCGUACAUCGAAUGCCUCCCUCCCACCUCUACCGCCGCCCAGUACGGCCAAUCCAGCGGCCACUCCGGCGCCUCCGCCCUACAAUGCUGCCACCCGGAUCUCCCAGGCCACCCCGCCCACAACCACCACCUCAGGCUCUAGCGGAAUCAGUCUGGGCAGUGUAGGGAGCCUGGGUAGUGGUAGCACCACCACCCUCCUGCCCACCCAGGUCUCUGCCAGCCCCUCAGGCCAGUUCAUCUUGCCUGCUAAUGGGAACCUCAAGAAGACAGGCGCCCUUGCGACGCACGUCUAAGCCCGGCCCGAGGGCAUCAUGUGAUGAUGGCCCAAGAGCCAAAGUAAAGUGGUUUAAAUUAUGUGUCAAAGACAAUACAAAGGUCUACUUGUAAGGUCCCCCUCUUUCUCCCUAAGACUUUAGUGCUCUAAGAAUUUAACAGAAAAAAAGGUGCAAAUAUGUAACAUCAACGACAGUGAAAGGUUACAAGGUGGCUCACUCCAAACAUCAAUGGGAUGAAUUAAGCAUAAACGUGAAUUGACAAAGUGCAUUGAUGACAGAAGAACGAGUAUAUUUGCAUUAUGCAUUUUCAAUUGAUAUUUCUCUAGAUGAUAAAUUGAUAUGAAUUAAUAUCAUGAGGGAUUUUGCAAUCUCAGAAAGUGAGAAAAAAAUGUAUUUUGCAUAGUGAUUUAAAACGAAAGAAAAAAAAAUGAAUUAUCGUGUGUGCUUAUGGAUUAAGGUAAUGUAAAGUAUAAUAAAACUAUUUGUAAGUACGAUGUAAUGUGAAUUUGUAUAUAAAUGAGGAUUAUCGUGUGGCCUUAAUAUUAUGUAAAUUAAAUCAAUUCUGCCAAGAAAAUUGAAAAUGUAUUAAUUAUGCGUGUUGAUAUGAGAUUAUCAUUUGAAUCACAAUGAUAGUGAAUUGAUAUAUUCAUCGAAAUUUUAUGUUAAAAUUGAUGAAGUGUCUCUCCCUUUAAGAAAAUUUAUGAGAAAAAUAUUCAUCGGGAGAUAUCCGUAACAAAAAAGCUAUAUUAAAAGAAUUUUACAAAUGCAGUUUUAUAAAAAAAAAAGAUAAAAGUAUCAUUUCUAGCAAAGCUCGCAUUUUCUGUGCUGUAUUUGUCUCAGUAAAUUCUUUGCUUAUAAUCUUACAAUAGACGAAAAAUGUUUGCAAUCCCUCCAUGUAAACAUUUUCUCUCCCCACAGUGAAAAAAAAGCUCCAUAAACAUUUCAAAUGAGAGAUCCACAAACAAUUUUUGAAAGAACUAUUAACAAUAUUUACCGUAGUUUUUCCCACAAGUAUUUACGUGGCCUUUGCAGAAAAAAAAAUUACGAAAAAGUAUUUAAACUACAAUUUGAUGAGUAGAAAUGAAAAGAGGAUAUAUUAAAUUUGUUGUUUUUUCUUUUAAUAAAAAAAAUAUUCUAUCAAAGGACAAAAUAUUCUAGUAUAUUUUUUCCUUUUCCAAAGAGAGAUAAAAGCCAUAUUUUUCUCAUCUAAACAACUAUUUAAAUAAAUUUCCCAUUAUGUUUUUCUUUUUUGGGAAUAUAAAUUUAAAAAAAGUGAAAAGAAAAAUUGUUAGAUGUAUACCCAUUCUAAAUGAACUUUCACCUUCUUGUCUAAAUCAAUAGAAAAAUUUUUCAAACAAAAAAAAUCUGUAAAUAGUAUAGAAAAAGAAACGACUAAGGAAUUAAAUGAAUUUAGGAGAAAAAAUCUUAUUGCCUCCUUCAGGCCUGUUCUAAAUAAAUGAAAAAAAGAAAAAUUUUGUUGUGAUUCUCGCAUUAACAAAAAAAAAGGUAGAACGAUGACGAUUCAUCUGUAAGAUAGUCUCAUAUUAAAAAAAAGAAAUGAAGAAGAAAUUGUAAAAAGAAAUCUCUAUAAAUUAUCAUC